rnacentral:rRNA from 1 species
GCCCUGCCGUAAACUUUGAUAUUUCAAUACAACAGAUAUCCGCCCGGGGACUACGAGCGCCAGCUUAAAACCCAAAGGACUUGGCGGUGCUUCAGACCCCCCUAGAGGAGCCUGUUCUAGAACCGAUAACCCCCGUUCAACCUCACUACUCCUUGCUCUUCCCGCCUAUAUACCGCCGUCGCCAGCUUACCCUGUGAAGGCAUCGCAGUAAGCGAGAUGGGCAUUGCCCAAAACGUCAGGUCGAGGUGUAGCGUACGAAGUAGGAAGAAAUGGGCUACAUUAUCUGAAGCAGAUUAUUCACGGAAGGUUGUCUGAAAUGGCAGCCCAAAGGUGGAUUUAGCAGUAAGGGAAGAAUAGAGCGCUCCCCUGAAGCCGGCUCUGAAGCGCGC